rnacentral:rRNA from 1 species
AACGAACGCUGGCGGCAAGCCUAACACAUGCAAGUCGAACGCUCUAGCAAUAGAGAGUGGCAGACGGGUGAGUAACGCGUGGGAACCUUCCCAAUGGUGCAGAAUAGCCCAGGGAAACUUGGGGUAAUACUGCAUAAGCCCUUCGGGGGAAAGAUUUAUCGCCAUUGGAUGGGCCCGCGUCGGAUUAGCUAGUUGGUGAGGUAAUGGCUCACCAAGGCAACGAUCCGUAGCAGGUUUGAGAGAAUGACCAGCCACACUGGGACUGAGACACGGCCCAGACUCCUACGGGAGGCAGCAGUGGGGAAUCUUGGACAAUGGGCGCAAGCCUGAUCCAGCCAUGCCGCGUGAGUGACGAAGGCCUUAGGGUUGUAAAGCUCUUUGCCGGGGACGAUAAUGACGGUACCCGGAGAAUAAGUCCCGGCUAACUUCGUGCCAGCAGCCGCGGUAA